UAGGAAAUAGUAUAAUGGGAGUACAAAGAGUUUUGAUCUCUUAAGCAGAAGUUCUAAUCUUCUUUUCCUAA
rnacentral:tRNA from 1 species